UGGGGAAUCUUGCACAAUGGGCGAAAGCCUGAUGCAGCGACGCCGCGUGGGGGAUGAAGGCCCUAGGGUCGUAAACCCCUUUCAGUAGGGACGAAAAUGACGGUACCUACAGAAGAAGCCCCGGCCAACUACGUGCCAGCAGCCGCGGUAAGACGUAGGGGGCGAGCGUUGUCCGGAUUUAUUGGGCGUAAAGGGCUCGUAGGUGGUUGCGUAAGUCGGAUGUGAAAACUCCAGGCUCAACUUGGAGACGCCAUCCGGUACUGCGCUGACUUGAGUCCGGUAGAGGAGUGUGGAAUUUCUAGUGUAGCGGUGAAAUGCGCAGAUAUUAGAAGGAACACCUAUUGCGAAGGCAGCACUCUGGGCCGGCACUGACACUGAGGAGCGAAAGCGUGGGUAGCAAACA
rnacentral:rRNA from 1 species